rnacentral:rRNA from 1 species
UACGGAGGGUCCAAGCGUUAUCCGGAUUUAUUGGGUUUAAAGGGUGCGUAGGCGGAAUAAUAAGUCAGAGGUGAAAUCCUGCAGCUCAACUGUAGAACUGCCUUUGAUACUGUUAUUCUUGAAUCUAGUUGAAGUAGGCGGAAUGUAACAUGUAGCGGUGAAAUGCAUAGAGAUGUUACAGAACACCGAUUGCGAAGGCAGCUUACUAAACUAGCAUUGACGCUGAUGCACGAAAGCGUGGGGAGCGAAGAGG